rnacentral:rRNA from 1 species
GACGAACGUUGGCGGCGUGCUUAAUACAUGCAAGUCAACUGAAGCAGUGGUAGCAAUAUCGCUGUGGAGGUGGCGCACGGGUGAGUAACGCGUAGGUAAUCUGCCUUCAGGUCUGGCAUAACCCCGGGAAACCGGGGCUAAUAGCAGAUGAUGCAGCGGCUCGACAUCGAGACAGUUGUUAAAGCUAUGGCGCCUGAAGAUGAGCCUGCGUCUGAUUAGCUAGUUGGCGGGGUAACGGCCCACCAAGGCAACGAUCAGUAGCUGGUCUGAGAGGAUGAUCAGCCACACAGGAGCUGAGACACGGUCCAGACUCCUACGGGAGGCAGCAGUAAGGAAUAUUGCUCAAUGGGAGAAAUACUGAAGCAGCAACGCCGCGUGAGGGCCGAAGGGCUUUUGCUUGUAAACCUCUGUAGUGAGAGAAAAAAUCCCAAUCUUUGGGACAUGAUGGUAUCUCAAAAGUAAGCCCCGGCUAACUACGUG